AAAAACUCGCGCCUGAAAAUAAUCCCGUGCGUUGCGAACGAGCGAGCGAAGCCUUUGCCCUUGAGCGACGCCACACCAGACCCUUCGCCCUCGCAGCCGCCGCCGAUCCCCUCCCUCAAACGCCGCCGCCCGUCGCUGCCGCCCCCGCCACCUCCCGUCGCGGGCAGGCGGGAGGAGCCCUGCCCGGCCAUGGCGACACCGCCGGCGGCCUCCUCCUCCCCCUCACCUUCUCUCCCUCUCCCAAGGGAUGGAAGGGAUCUGAUUGGAGUGGUGGAUCUGCGCCCUUGCCGUCUCUUCUUUUCUUCACCGAUUCCAGGAGGAGAUCGAAGUGGGAGGUAGACGAGCAGGAGCGCCGCGUCCGCGACAGCGAUGAGCGACGACCCAGGUUCUCCUCUCCCAUGGCAGGGGUCGGCGAGUAGCAACAGAUGCGGGACACCAACUGGUGGCGCAACGGACAGCGAGAGGCGGGACACCAACUAGGCGCGCCUCUCGCGGCCGACUUCCACGGCGGCGACGUCGUUUACCUUGGCGCCUGCUUCUUUCCGACUCAGCGAUCCCCGCGGGCACCGAUGGACAGCGACGGGCAGCACGUGCGGCCGCGGAGCCGCGCGCUCCUGACCGACGACGAGGAUGACGGGACGUACGCCAACGACGUGUACAGCGGCAACCUCGCCGCCACGGGCGGGUCUCGUGCUGGCCGGAUCUUGGGGCGGUAGCAGUACUUGGUGCAGCGCCGCCGCGGCGACUACGUCGUCGUCCUCAUCCGCACAGGGAAGCUGGACUGGGAGGUUUGCUGCUUCCGGUCGGCAGACGAUGGCUAUGACGCUAUGCCCAGCACAAGUGCUAACGCCAUCACGGCCGGCACCACUGGCACCAGCAGCCGUUCGGUGUGCUCUCCGGGAUGCUGCAGUGGAAGGGUCGAGCAGGAGCUAUGGAUGCCAGCAAACAAGCCUGUGCAGACGGCAUUGCAUCAAUCAAAUCGGAUGGAGAACAUCACACAACAGCCUUUCUCCAGGACAUAAAGAAAAUGGUGGCACUUUGGGUUUUGAAGACGCCGCCUCGCGUAGGACUACGAACAUGGGACGCUCGUUCGAGUUUUUCUUAACUCGUCAGGAUUCUCAUGCUGCAAAUUUAGUAACGGGGCAAAUUUUUGGGUGUCCUGAUGUGUUUGCGGAUUGAUGAAAAUUUGGCGAGGGAGAUCAUAAACCAUCGCUCGCUGCAGCACAUCAAUUGUUGAAUUAGUUUGAAGGAGCUGUCAAUUGUUGAAUUCACUUGAAGGAGAUGGAGCUCGUUUGGCUGAAUUUGCUACUGAGUUGCCACAUUUUGAGGGCCUACAAUUGAAGAAUACAACACUUGAGAUAACAAUUGAAGAAUACUAGAGUAAUAAUAACUACUGCAAGAGUGAUGUAUUUUCUUUUUGUUGGAGAUUUUCUGCAUCUUUUAUGGAUGGUAACAUUUGAGAUAACAAUUUGAUGUGCUAACCAUCAAGAUCAACUUCGACAUGUUUGGUCUCUAAAAGUUACUAUUGACCAUCAUUGGUGCAUCCUAUAAGGUAUAGUCAGUACUAUGAGUAACUUACCAGACAUUGACUGUAGAAGUUGCUAUCCAACUCUUGUGAAAUCUAACCAUGUUAUUCAUUUACGAUACCUAUACGUAUGUGGUACACAAUCUGAAAUAGUAGAAGGGGAAAAUAAAGCAUUAAUGUGGAGUAUGUUCCAAUAGAAAUCUUCACGAACACCUUGAAGGUAAGCAUCAUAUGAUCCUUCACGUCCAUUCAAUCUAUGUAUGAUAGGUCAUAGGUGCAAUCGUCUUUUCAAAUUCUAUGUUACUGAGUUCAGAUGUAUGUAGGUCUGAGUGCAAUUUUUCUUUAGUUCUUUGUGAGCUUAAAAAUGCAACUGAUGUGGCCCAUGCAACUGAGAUUAAAAACAUGGAGAACAAUCAUAAAAGAUCUCGCUGAAAAUGCCCUCGUUCCGCACUUCGUGUGGACAGGCAGCGCCCUUUACCUUCGAAGUCUCGAAAAAUGGUCUGGGUGAUGCGGGUGCCUCAAUUCUUGAUGCCAUGUUCUGUAAGAGGCCAAGGUACUAUAUUUUGUCCCUGAUGCAUAACCUGCAUUGAUUUUUUGUAAACUAUCCUUUUAGAGGCAAUGAUGAAAAUGAUUUUUGUGCAUGAAACAACAAACCAGUUCAUUUUUUUAUGCAGAGAUCAAAUUGAUUUUUGUGCAUAAAAUUCUCUUUGUGAUACAAGGUCUUCUAAUCAGUUUCUGCACUAUGCUUGAGGUACUAGAAAAGCAUAUGGGCAUCAAUUCGACAGGGUUUUGCAUUAUGUUUCAUGCAUAGACAUAUGUGCGCAGACUCGAUUCUUGUAGGUCCUGAAUUACGUGCAACUUUAUGUUAUGGGUUAUUUGAGUCAAGAUCGAUGAUUUGAACUUGUUAUCAUUCCAAGCAGCUCAGCUCACUGAAAUCUGAAAUCCAAAUAUGAGCUCAAUGAAUAUUGAUUGCCUCUAAAAGAAAUGCUUAGGUUUUGAUGUUUUUAUUCAGUUUUAUUUAGGGUUGAGUAGUUCAAAUUUAUUUUUUCAGGAAUUUUUGUAGGGACCGUGUGUGUGGCACUUAAUAUUUGUCUUUGUUUCUUGUUUGUGCACUUAAUAUUGGUCUAAUUUUUGUUGCAUAGGUUGUAUUUGGGUGUCCACGCGCUACAGGGAAUUACUGUGCGGAGUAGUAAGAAUUGAUUUAAACGUAGAGCCUAGACUCGCACUCCAUGAGCAUCCAUGGCCGGCGAGACAGGACCCUCGACCCUCGGCCUCUGUUGAGAAGGAUCGUUCCACUGUGUCUGAUUUGUAGUACAGAGCAAUCUCAUUCCUCUGAAGUUCCUAUUGGGCAAAAUGGGCAAGAUAUGUUUGGUCAGUGGUGCUUUGUUUUUUAGGCUAUGGCUAUGAUAACUUGAUGACACCCCUUUGUAGUACGGAGCAAUCUCAUGCAUUUGUCCUCCAUCUUCAGGAACAUUUAUUAGUGUACAAUGGCCAAGCAAUUGUUUAAAAAAAUAAGAAACCUGGAAUUGAAUUGCUAAAACAUGGAAUUAUUCUGCUUAUUUGUAGGUUAAUGUAUGACUAUCACGUUCCCCACCAAGUGAAAUGUGCUAUUUCACCACAAACAUUGACGAAGUUAAGUUCAGUGCAGGCAAAAUGGAUAAGUCUGUAACUGGAACUCUGGAUAGUUGAUCCUCUGAAUGGCAAAAAAUUUAUCAAAGUUGCUGAGGUUCAGGGGUCUGAAAUUAAGCCAUUUGUGGACAGUUUAUCUAAAUGCCCCAAACCCACUUAGAGCUCCAGAGAGGUCUUGUUUUCUUGUACUAUGGAUUUAAGGUGAUUCUCAAGAGGAACAAGUCGCCAUGGACCGAUGAGAUCGAGAGACGGCUCCGCGGUUGCGUGGAGUGGUGGCUGAGAGGAGAGGCAACAACAACUCGUUGUCCGUGACGGCCCGAGCGUUUGCGAGAGGGGAUGGAGCGGGGGUUGCAUCGUCACGGCCAGUUGCCAGAGUGGAUGGAGUGGUGGCCGCACGGACGCGCUCCUGGAGGUGCCGGUAUGCACCCUGAUUUUGAGCCUGGGAGGUUCCUUGCUCUGCCCUAUCCUCAAGGGUGUUCAUCUACUUUGGUAUCGUGCUCUGGAGUCAGGACGAUGCACUAAUGCAGCUAAUCAUGGAGUGUUUCGAUUGCCUGCUUACGGAUUAGCAAUGAGCACAAGUCUGCAACCUUGAAGGAAAACCCGUUGCAACUGAUGACAUAAUAUUACGUCGCAACAAGAAUGUAUAGAGCUGCAGAGCUCUGUGGAUCCUUCUCUUCACAAAAGGAAACAAGAGGUAAUGUAAACAAUAGAUUCUCUUGUGAAAUUGCGACUCAGCCUUGGGGUGUGGAUGGCGAGAAGCGGAGGCGUGUGCCUAGAGUAGCGGACCAUGAUGGAUUGAUGAGCUGAUGUCACGUGACGUACUCACGUGGCGGCUGGUUAGGCUCCGGCGGCUGGAGCCAUCAUCGACCAUGAUGCCGCGCUAGGAGCACAAGGGCUAAGACGAGGACAUGUUGGUGCCGAUGAAAUAAGGUGCUGCCGGUUGAUGGGGGCCUAACCAUGAGUCUAACUGAAAGUGAACGGGAGCGAUGUGCAGAAAAAAUCUUAGCACAUAGGCUGAAUUUGUAUAGUACUUCGAAUUUAUUAGGCAGUCCCCCCUCCAUUUGUAUAUCACUUCCGAAUACAAGUUCAGGUUAUUAGGCAGUACUAUUGAAUUUAAGGAUUGAUACUUGAAGAUUUUAAAAGGUUACUAAAUUUUGUACCAAGUCUACUGUUAUGUAUGGGAAGAACAUGCGCUAAAAUAUUGAUAAUGCAAAUGAAAGUGAUCAUUUGAUUAUUAAA